UCUUUGUGAGCAAGCACGGUGAUAGAAUACUGAGAAAGACACAAGAGAACAUGGUGGGGUUACUACGGAGAUACAAACAACUUCUCCCUAGGGAAAGAAUAAAGUGACAAGCUGAAAGAAAUUUCAGGCAGGGACGUUAAGCAGUAGCAAUCGGAAGAUUAAGCCGACCAAGAGGCUGCUUUUCAGAGAGAUCACAGGUGGAGGAAAUGAAGAUUAUUUAAAAAAAAAAAAUACUAGAAGAAGAAAACAAAAAGCUUCAUGAAUACCAAAGUCUCUGCCAGUCUUAUUUACACAGAUGAUUAAAGUUGAAAGAGAAAAGCAAAAAGAAAGAAGAUGAAGAAACUGAGGUUUGGAACACUUGAGUAACUUAUCUAAGAAUACUGAGCACAAAUAGCUUCUUUGCAUUGAAGAGUUGAAAUCCAAAGUUCAAACACUUGCAGAAGACAAAAUCCAAUCCCCAAGCAUCCACAGAGACAGCAAAGGCAGCUUUCUGAGGAUAUCACACAUACCAAAGAGCUUUAGAAUCAGACAUACAGAACAGUCCAAUGGGAAAGAAGCAUUCUUCCUAUGCUCUGUCAUUGAAUAGCAUGGACCGUGGACACGGGAGUGGCUCCGUGCCUUAGUAAUGGAAACCAGUAGAACAGCAAAGGUACCUACAGUUCCCAGGAGGGCAGCAGAUGAGGAAAGUGCAAGAGACUAUGGUAUUUAGAGAAUCGUCACUAGCAGAGGAGCAGCAGGGUAUGACAAGGACAAGCUUGUUGUUGAGCAUACCUAGAGACUAGCAGAAAUAACAGAAGAAGACUUUUCAGAGAACUCUAUUAUAUAGGUGGAAGCAAUAAGCCUGAGUAAUUUGAAUAAUGACUAAUAAGUUGACCUCAUUUAUAUCCACAGGCUGAGGAGGUCUGGAGAAAUUCAGGUUACAUUAUAAUAAAAACAAGUGAUUAUUAUUAUUAUCAUGCUAUAAUCACAUUUGAGCACAGAUUUUGCUCAUAGUUGCUUGCUUGACCCUUUGGAUUCCACCAAUUUUCUAGUGGCACAGAUCCAAUUUUCUAGUGCUUUGAGUUUUGACUUUCUCUUGACAUUGCCUAGUGGGUCAACGUGAGUAAGCUUUAAAAAAAAGU